GGCCCUACGGGAGGCAGCAGUGGGGAAUAUUGCACAAUGGGGGAAACCCUGAUGCAGCAACGCCGCGUGAGCGAAGAAGUAUUUCGGUAUGUAAAGCUCUAUCAGCAGGGAAGAAGAAAGACGGUACCUGACUAAGAAGCCCCGGCUAACUACGUGCCAGCAGCCGCGGUAAUACGUAGGGGGCAAGCGUUAUCCGGAUUUACUGGGUGUAAAGGGAGCGUAGACGGCUGUGCAAGCCUGAAGUGAAAGCCCGUGGCUCAACCGCGGAAAUGCUGGAAACUGCAGAGCGUGAGUACUGGAGAGUG
rnacentral:rRNA from 1 species